AUUGAACGCUGGCGGCAGGCCUAACACAUGCAAGUCGAACGAGUGGCGGACGGGUGAGUCAUGUCUGGGAAACUGUCUGCUGGAGGGGGAUAACUACUGGAAACGGUAGCUAAUACCGCAUACCAUCGGAUGUGUCCAGAUGGGACUAGCUAGCAGGUGGGGUAAAGGCGCACCUAGGCGACGAUCCCUAGCUGGUCUGAGAGGAUGACCAGCCACACUGGAACUGAGACACGGUCCCGACUCCUACGGGAUGCAGCAGUGGUGAAUAUUGCACAAUGGGCGCAAGCCUGAUGCAGCCAUGCAGCGUGUAUGAAGAGGGCCUUCGGGUUGUAAAGUACUUUCAGCGGAGAGGCGUUACCCGCAGAAGAAGCACCGGCUAACUCCGUGCCAGCAGCCGCGGUAAUUC
rnacentral:rRNA from 1 species